rnacentral:rRNA from 1 species
UACAGAGGGGGCGAGCGUUGUUCGGAAUUACUGGGCGUAAAGGGCGCGUAGGCGGCCCUCUAAGUCGAACGUGAAAUCCCCGGGCUCAACCCGGGAACUGCGUCCGAUACUGGAGGGCUCGAAUCCGGGAGAGGGAUGUGGAAUUCCAGGUGUAGCGGUGAAAUGCGUAGAUAUCUGGAGGAACACCGGUGGCGAAGGCGGCAUCCUGGACCGACACUGACGCUGAGGCGCGAAAGCUAGGGGAGCAAACGGG